GUGCGAGUUGAGACGCACGCGGGGCCCCCGCCGGGGGCUCUGAGGACUCUGACAAGGUCUAUUUAGGAAGCGGAUGAGAUCAUGGGCCUGAAACACUUUAGCCUUCAAGGCAGAGCAGUGUUAAUUCCGGUAUUAGCAAGUAACGGAGGCUGACAAGAUGCUGACAAGCUUAAGGGCUGGUGCUUGAAAGAAGCUUUUCCAGGAGAUAAGGUGUAUUUGAACAUGUGAUGAUUGAUAUAUACAGAAUAGAGUUUUUUGCUAUUUGUCCUUUUCAUGGUGGUAGCAGGGGUGAAUUUUAGGAAAAAACUGCCAAGUAUCUGUAAAAAUAUAUAUCUGCCCUGUAGAGAAUUUUUGGCAGAAUUCACUUCCAUUAUUUAAAACAGUUUUUCUGCCAUCCAGCCUGAAUCUUGACACAGUAGCUAGACUAGCUAUUCUACAACUAUCUUAAAAGAGAAUUUGGUUAGCUGCUUUAAUUUACAAAGGUUAUUUUUAAAUCCCAUUCUUUUGACUAUGCUAAACCUCUGGGUUUUGUGCUUGCAGUUUUGUUUAUCAUUUUGAUGGUUAAAUUUGACCCAUUGUAUACAGGACAGAUAAGUGGAGGAGUUUGUUGCAUAGCAUUUUGAGGGUAGGGCCUGAGGAACUGUUCUACACUUUGAUUAUAGUGGUAAUUACAUCUGUCAGAAAUUUGGAGUGAGUUUUACUGAAUGUAAAUUCAAUUUCAAUAAAUAUGACUUAAAAACUUUCCCUUUCUGGCAUCUUAAAUGAGAUUUCCAAUGAAAUCUGUGGGAAGACUUGGGUCAGUGAUAAAACAGCUGAGAAUAAAGUGGGC
ensembl:lncRNA